CCUACGGGUGGCAGCAGUGGGGAAUAUUGGACAAUGGAGGGAACUCUGAUCCAGCGAAGCAGCGUGAGUGAAGAAGGAUUUCGGUAUGUAAAGCUCUAUCAGCACGGAAGAAAGCAAUGACGGUACCUGACUAAGAAGCGCAGGCUAACUACGGGCCAGCGGCAGCGGUAAUACAGAGGGGGCAAGCAUGAUCCGGAUUUAGUGGGUGUAAAGGGAGCGUAGACGGCGAUGCAAGUCUGAAGUGAAAGGCGGGGGCCCAACCCCUGGACUGCUUGGGACACUGGAUGGCUGGAGUGCAGGAGAGGUAAGUGGAAUUCUUGGUGUAGCGGGGAAAUGCGUAGAUAUGAGGAGGAACACCAGUGGCGAAGGCGGCUUACUGGAGUGUAACUGACGUUGAGGCUCGAAAGCGUGGGGAGCAAACAGGAUUAGAUACCCUUGUAGUC
rnacentral:rRNA from 1 species